AACGAAGAGCGAUGGAAGCUUGCUUCUAUCAAUCUUAGUGGCGAACGGGUGAGUAACGCGUAAUCAACCUGCCCUUCAGAGGGGGACAACAGUUGGAAACGACUGCUAAUACCGCAUACGAUCUAAYCUCGGCAUCGAGGAURGAUGAAAGGUGGCCUCUAUUUAUAAGCUAUCACUGAAGGAGGGGAUUGCGUCUGAUUAGCUAGUUGGAGGGGUAACGGCCCACCAAGGCGAUGAUCAGUAGCCGGUCUGAGAGGAUGAACGGCCACAUUGGGACUGAGACACGGCCCAGACUCCUACGGGAGGCAGCAGUGGGGAAUCUUCCGCAAUGGACGAAAGUCUGACGGAGCAACGCCGCGUGAGUGAUGACGGCCUUCGGGUUGUAAAGCUCUGUUAAUCGGGACGAAAGGCCUUCUUGCGAAUAGUUAGAAGGAUUGACGGUACCGGAAUAGAAAGCCACGGCUAACUACGUGCCAGCAGCCGCGGUAAUACGUAGGUGGCAAGCGUUGUCCG
rnacentral:rRNA from 1 species